rnacentral:rRNA from 2 species
AGUCUUAGGAAUUGAUCUAAGGUAAAGCCUGCCCAGUGUAAAUUAUAUAAAUGGCCGCAGUACCUUGACUGUGCGAAGGUAGCGUAAUCAGUUGGCUUUUAAAUGGAGUCUUGUAUGAAAGGAAUAACGUGGUACUACUGUCUCUACUUUAUUAUAUUGAAUUUUAUUAGAAGGUGAAAAUUCCUUCAAAAAUGAAAAAAGACGAGAAGACCCUUAGAGUUUUAAUUAAAACUUAUAUUUUAAUAGGUUUAAUUUUUGUUGGGGCGACAAGGAAACAAUUUAACUUUCCUUUUCUACUAGACGGUUUUUUCAGGAAAGAUUAAACUACCUGAGGGAUAACAGCAUAAUUCUUUUAAGAGUUUGUGACCUCGAUGUUGGACUAGGAACUUGAUAAACUAGCUGUUUAUUUUUGUGGCUCUGUUCGAGCUUUUACUCCU